AGCCACAGAGGGAUUCCAGGCAUGCAGAAGCACCUGCUUAGAAGGCUCUGCCCUGCUCCUUCCUGCUCUAACUCUUAAGUGUCUUGAAAAAAGAAAGACCUUACAGGCCAUCUAGCCAUGUUGACGAGCAUGGAGACCCUGAAUCUAAGGAGCUGAUAACAAUAAAGUGUUGCAUGGCCUGAAGAUAAACCUGGAGGGACCUUCAAGUUAGAAGAUGCAUCCUAACCUGCUGUGGAGAGACUAGUAAUUGUGGAGAAACUCGUCCAUAACAGAUGACAACACAUGCUCCAACAUCACCCGAGCAUUUAGAGGCCUCUUGAGGUGUCUCUGGAACUAGCUGUAAAGUGCAUCUUCCUGAUUUAUUUAAUAAAAGCAAUUCCUGCUUGUUA
rnacentral:lncRNA from 1 species